rfam:Ictidomys tridecemlineatus contig019924, whole genome shotgun sequence.
AGGGAUGUAGCUCAGUGGUUGAGUGCCAGCCUAGCACACAGAGGGCUCAGGGUUUGAUUCCCUGCAUCUCAC